UUGCCGAGGAGUCCCACAAUAGGACGAAACGGCCGUCCAG
rnacentral:hammerhead_ribozyme from 1 species